UUUUGACCUUAGAUUUGGUAACUGUGUGUCACUAGCUGUAAUGAAUAAAUUGGAAGUCCAGAAUGCUGGCUGGCAGAUUCAACUAAAAAGCUAGGGCUAGAGUGAUGAAGUAAAGGACACACUGCCUAGUGUCAUCUUGUUUUUCAGUGCUUAAAGUUUUCAAUAGGUGUACCCAAUUAUUUCCUUCAGGUACAGCAUUAUGCAGUCAAAUACAUAUCUUAUGGGACUACUAAUUUAAUAAAAAAGUAAUUAUUAGCAGCAUGCAAAAAGAAGUUAUUCAAUGGAUGGGUGUCUGUUCUACGUGGUCACUGGAUGAAAACAAUCUUUAUCUGUUGAAAACCAAAAUAUGUCAGUCUGCCAUAUCUCUUUAAAUUCAAUUUAAUGGUUUCUGCCUUUAUUUAGUUUGCAGCCAUAUUACCUCAUCCCAAGCUGGCAGGGCUGGGCCACCUGGGAUCUGGUGGGUGCUUUGGGAAGUGUUGGUGAUUCAGCACAGCAAUUGGCAUGCUGCCCUCUGAGUCUCCGUGGAAAAAUCCUUCACCACUGCACCUGGGCACCAUCUGUUGAAGGAGGUGGCAUCCGUCAGAUGAGCAUCAAAACUGCAGGAGGAAGAACAUCUGCUUUUGGAGAUAUGGAGAGAAAGGAGGCUGACUAAUAUGAAGGAAUUUGGGGGACUUCUAUGCAACACUCAUCACCUCAGGAAAACCUUCUUCCGUAGUGAAGUUCUCCUAACUGCAACUGAAUUGUUCUUCCCGUAGAACUGCUUUGGGGGAAAGCUAAGGAAAUUUCCUUAAAAUACUUUUCCAAAGGUAAAUUAAGAUUGAGAAUAAUUGAUGGUGGUUAAAAUAUAGUGUUGCUGAAGGUAGUAAGUCCUCAAAUCCAGGGAACUCAGAAUACAAGAAACUGAAAAAGGAUACCACAUUCUUGAAGCUGAGGUAGCAAGAUCCUCAUUCACAAACUGGGAGUGGAGGAGAUACCAUUGAAAGGUUUUUAGAUUUCUGAAGUUGCUUUUAAAGUAAAACUUUGAUGGUGUUUGGCCUUUCAUUAUUUAUAGGUAUUAUCUGUGUUAUUUAAAGUAUAGUUUCCUAAGACAUAGAGUGACAAACAGAAAGUCGGACACUGGAUUGGAAUGCCUAGCCAUUAGCUGCAUGGCAUGCCCGUAAAAAGGCAAAGGAAAACCAGUAGGUUUGGACUCUUUUGCUAAAUUUAGUAAUUUGAAAG
rnacentral:lncRNA from 1 species